CUGAAUAUGGGGGGACCAUCCUCCAAGGCUAAAUACUCCUGACUGACCGAUAGUGAACCAGUACCGUGAGGGAAAGGCGAAAAGAACCCCGGCGAGGGGAGUGAAAAAGAACCUGAAACCGUGUACGUACAAGCAGUGGGAGCCCCACCACUAAGCCAGUGGUGAACUCCACAUACGCAUCCUUUGCUGAGGAUACGGUUAACGGAGCGAAAGCGACGUUCAACCGCAAAAGAAGCAGAGGGGGCUUAGUGGUGGGGUGACUGCGUACCUUUUGUAUAAUGGGUCAGCGACUUAUAUUCUGUAGCAAGGUUAACCGAAUAGGGGAGCCGGAGGGAAACCGAGUCUUAAUUGGGCGUUAAGUUGCAGGGUAUAGACCCGAAACCCGGUGAUCUAGCCAUGGGCAGGUUGAAGGUUGGGUAACACUAACUGGAGGACCGAACCGACUAAUGUUGAAAAAUUAGCGGAUGACCUGUGGCUGGGGGUGAAAGGCCAAUCAAACCGGGAGAUAGCUGGUUCUCCCCGAAAGCUAUUUAGGUAGCGCCUCGUGAAUUCAUCUCCGGGGGUAGAGCACUGUUUCGGCUAGGGGGCCAUCCCGGCUUACCAACCCGAUGCAAACUGCGAAUACCGGAGAAUGUUAUCACGGGAGACACACGGCGGGUGCUAACGUCCGUCGUGAAGAGGGAAACAACCCAGACCGCCAGCUAAGGUCCCAAAGUCAUGGUUAAGUGGGAAACGAUGUGGGAAGGCCCAGACAGCCAGGAUGUUGGCUUAGAAGCAGCCAUCAUUUAAAGAAAGCGUAAUAGCUCACUGGUCGAGUCGGCCUGCGCGGAAGAUGUAACGGGGCUAAACCAUG
rnacentral:rRNA from 1 species